rnacentral:rRNA from 1 species
UACAGAGGGUGCGAGCGUUGUUCGGAAUUACUGGGCGUAAAGGGUUCGUAGGUGGCCUGCUAAGUCAGACGUGAAAUCCCUCAGCUCAACUGGGGAACUGCGUCUGAGACUGGCAGGCUUGAGUGCAGGAGAGGAACGCGGAAUUCCAGGUGUAGCGGUGAAAUGCGUAGAUAUCUGGAGGAACACCGGUGGCGAAGGCGGCGUUCUGGACUGUUACUGACACUGAGGAACGAAAGCCAGGGGAGCAAACGGG